rnacentral:snRNA from 1 species
UGCUCGCUUCGGCAGCACAUAUACUAAAAUUGGAACGAUACAGAGAAGAUUAGCAUGGCCCCUGUGCAAGGAUGACAAUCAAAUUCGUGAAGC